CCUACGGUGUGCAGCAGUGAGGAAUAUUGGUCAAUGGCCGCGAGCCUGAACCAGCCAAGUAGCGUGAAGGAUGACUGCGCUAAGGGUUGUAAACUUCUUUUGUCAAGGAAUAAAGGGACGCACGGGUGCCUUUUUGUAUGUACUUGAUGAAUAAGCAUCGGCUAACUCCGUGCCAGCAGCCGCGGUAAUACGGAGGAUCCGAGCGUUAUCCGGAUUUAUUGGGUUUAAAGGGAGCGUAGAUGGGUUGUUAAGUCAGUUGUGAAAUUUUGCGGCUCAAACGUAAAAUUGCAAUUGAUACUGGGAGCAUUGAGUACAGUUGAGGUAGGCGGAAUGCGUGGUGUAGCGGUGAAAUGCUUAGAUAUCACGAAGAACCCCGAUUGCGAAGGCAGCCUACUAAGCUGCCACUGACAUUGAUGCUCGAAAGUGUGGGGAUCAAACAGGAUUAGAUACCCCUGUAGUC
rnacentral:rRNA from 1 species